UCAACAGCUGCUGCAUUUAAUCACUGCUCACACUUAAUUGACUUGCAGCAGAUGUAGAGCCACAACCACAAAGGACUUUCCCACACCAGCCCUGUCCCUACCCCGGGAUUGCUGCUCAACUGGCUGCUGGGGACCUGUUUUUGUAGAGAUCCAACCCGAUUUUUCCUGGUGUGGGGGGGUGCUCCCAAUUCCCACCUGCUCCUGCUGUUUUGGCUGGCAAAGAAGAUGGAGAAGAGCAAAAAAAAAAACCCCAUUGUUUGCCCAACAGGCACCACCCUGGGAAGGGGUGAGGACCAUCCAGGCUCCUCCCAAGCCUCGAGGCGAGCUCUGAGCACCACAAAGUGCUGCAAGUCCAACCCCAAACCCAGUUAAGCACCAGGGAUGCUGCUGGAGGAGAACCCAGCUGGAAUUUGGGACAGAAAAACCACCCCAGUGACCCUCGGUUGGAGCCGUGAGCAAAUAACACCCCCUCCUCCCAAAACUGUGGUAUUUUGAGUCACCUUUCCCAGAGAGAGGAGCCGGGGGGAGAAUUUCAAGGGUGUUUUGUAAAAUCCAAGGCAAAAGGAAAAAAA